rnacentral:misc_RNA from 1 species
GAUGAAGAACGUAGCGAAAUGCGAUACGUAAUGUGAAUUGCAGAAUUCAGUGAAUCAUCGAAUCUUUGAACGCAUAUUGCGCUCUUUGGUAUUCCGAAGAGCAUGCUUGUUUGAGUAUCAGUAAACACCUCAAAGACUUCAAUUUGUUUUGAAUGGCUUUGGACUUGAGCAAUCCCAACCCCAGUCUUUACGAUCGGUGGAGGGUUGCUUGAAAUGCAGGUGCAGCUGGACAUUCUCCUGAGCUAAAAGCAUAUUUAUUUAGUCCCGUCAAACGGAUUAUUACUUUUGCUGCAGCUAACAUAAAGGGAGUUUGACCGUAUUGGCUGACUGAUGCAGGAUUUCACAAGGGUCGGCAACGAUUCUUGUAAAACUCGAUCUCAAAUCAAGUAAGACUACCCGCUGAACUUAAGCAUAUCAAUAAGCGGAGGA